rnacentral:rRNA from 1 species
CUACGGGAGGCUCCAGUGAGGAAUAUUGCACAAUGGGGGGAACCCUGAUGCAGCAACGCCGCGUGGAGGAUGACGCAUUUCGGUGUGUAAACUCCUUUUAUAUGUCAAGAAAAUGACGGUAGCAUAUGAAUAAGCACCGGCUAACUCCGUGCCAGCAGCCGCGGUAAUACGGAGGGUGCAAGCGUUACUCGGAAUCACUGGGCGUAAAGGACGCGUAGGCGGGUUGGAAAGUCAGGUGUGAAAUCCUAUAGCUUAACUGUAGAACUGCACUUGAAACUUCUAAUCUAGAGUAUGGGAGGGGGAGAUGGAAUUAGUGGUGUAGGGGUAAAAUCCGUAGAUAUCACUAGGAAUACCUAAAGCGAAGGCGAUCUCCUGGAACAUUACUGACGCUAAGGCGUGAAAGCGUGGGGAGCAAACAGGAUUAGAUACCCCAGUAGUC